GGGGGUGUAGCUCAGUGGUAGAGCGCUUGCCUAGCAGGUGCGAGGGCCUAGAUUCCAUCUUCAGCCCCA
rnacentral:tRNA from 1 species